rnacentral:rRNA from 1 species
AACGCUGGCGGCGUGCUUAACACGAUGCAAGUCGAACGGAGUUUUAACGGAAGUUUCGGAUGGAAGUUAGAAACUAGUGGCGGACGGGUGAGUAACGCGUGGGUAACCUGCCUCAUACAGGGGGAUAACAGUUAGAAAUGACUGCUAACACCGCAUAAUAUAGCGAAACCGCAUGAUUUUUGCUAUCAAAUAUUUAUAGGUAUGAGAUGGGCCCGCGUCUGAUUAGCUAGUUGGUGGGGUAAAGCCUACCAAGGCGACGAUCAGUAGCCGGCUUGAGAGAGUGACCGGCCACAUUGGGACUGAGACACGGCCCAAACUCCUACGGGAGGCAGCAGUGGGGAAUAUUGGACAAUGGGGGAAACCCUGAUCCAGCGAACCGCCGCGUGAGUGAAGAAGUAUUUCGGUAUGUAAAGCUCUAUCAGCAGGGAAGAUAAUGACAGUACCUGACUAAGAAGCCCCGGCUAACUACGUGCCAGCCGCAGC